UACAGAGGUCUCAAGCGUUGUUCGGAUUCAUUGGGCGUAAAGGGUGCGUAGGUGGCGCGCUAAGUCAGGUGUGAAAUCUCGGGGCUUAACUCCGAAACUGCAUUUGAUACUGGCGUGCUUGAGGACUGGAGAGGAGACUGGAAUUCAUGGUGUAGCAGUGAAAUGCGUAGAGAUCAUGAGGAAGACCAGUGGCGAGGGCGGGUCUCUGGACAGUUCCUGACGCUGAGGCACGAAGGCCAGGGGAGCAAACGGG
rnacentral:rRNA from 1 species